GCUGGCGGUGCGCCUUAUGCAUGCAAGUCGAGCGAAGCUUUUCAGUAGUUUACUACAGAAAAUGACUGAGCGGCGAACGGGUGAGUAACGCGUGAGCAAUCUACCUUAGUUACAGGGAUAGCCCGAGGAAACUCGGAUUAAUACCUGAUAUUCUUUAUUUCUCGCAUGAGAAUAAAAGGAAAGGUCAGCCGAACUAAGAUGAGCUCGCGUUCUAUCAGCUAGUUGGUGAGGUAAAAGCUUACCAAGGCUACGACGGAUAGCUGGUCUGAGAGGACGAUCAGCCACACUGGGACUGAGACACGGCCCAGACUCCUACGGGAGGCUGCAGCAGGGAAUAUUGUGCAAUGAACGAAAGUUUGACACAGCGACACCGCGUGUGGGAUGACGGAUCUAGGUUUGUAAACCACUUUCAGGAGGGAAGAAAAUGACGGUACCUCCACAAGAAGCCCCGGCCAACUACGUGCCAGCAGCCGCGGUAAUACGUAGGGGGCGAGCGUUGUCCGGAUUUAUUGGGCGUAAAGAGCUCGUAGGCGGUUCAACAAGUCGGUCGUGAAAGUUCAGGGCUCAACCCUGAAAUGUCGAUCGAUACUGUUGUGACUAGGAUACGGUAGAGGUGAGUGGAAUUCCGAGUG
rnacentral:rRNA from 1 species